AUCUAGAUGAGGAGUCCUAAAUAAGACGUAACCCGCAUCCUGGAU
rnacentral:hammerhead_ribozyme from 1 species